GUUUAAACUUGAUUGUUCUAAUUUGGUUGAACUUGCUAAUAUGUCUACAGUUUUUUUGCGAAUAAAUAAAUAAUACAUUAAUAUAUAAUUAAUCGAUUUGUAGAACAGACUGGCAUUGUUGUGUGUGUUUUUUUUAAUUGAACUUGUGAUUCGCACUGUGUUGUUUUUCAGUGGAUGAUUUCAUUGGAUGACGCCAUUCCCUCUCAACAACAACGCGUCCUGUAAACAAAAAACAGUCUACUACUAUAAAGAAGUGACUUGCUAAACCUACAAAAUUAGUCAUUCUUUGAUCUCUUCAGCAUACAAAAUGAAACUGAUGGCAUGUGAGACCCACUGAAAUGCAGCUAUUGGUUAUGGAUUACUAUGCUGUUUGGAUAAAGAAAACAGAGGACUUCUGAAAAUGAACACCAGCUUGGUCAGUGGAUAUAUCUGUUGUUUCCUGGUGGGCGGGGCUUAGCUGGAGGCAAAAAGAGGUGCUGGACGCAAUGUUGACAAGCGUAAGCUAGCAUGUUUUAGGAGGGAUUUAUUAAACAUGGAUGCAGAAGAAGGUUCGGAACUGUCCGAAUAUGUACAGUCACUGACUCUGCGGGACUGUGACAGCUAUUUUUGUAAAUUAACUCUCGCGGAUGGAAGCAGGCUGCCUGACCCAUAUGCCAUACGGCCACGGGAGUGGCAUGAAGACUUGACGGGGCUGCCGAGGGUGGAGUGGCCGGACAUCUACACUUGUGUUUACAGCCGGGAAAAGCUACAGGCGUAUAAAUCCCUGGAUGCCUACAACUAUGUUAUUAAUGGUCACGUUCAGACAUUACAAUACAACAAUUUACGUACAAAUGUUUGUGUGGUGCUGUCAGAGGUGUUGCCUAGCCAGAGGCAAGGCAAGAAGGGUGACAUGUACCACACCUGGGUGAUCGUAAAUCGGGACAACAGUACAAUUUUAACGGCGAACUGCACUUGCAUGUCAGUUUUAACCUAACAGUAAAUAGACAACAAUUUAUAGUUUGCUGCAACCACUGUUAUAAAUCCUAAUUAAUAUGUUUUGAAGUCAUGAAUGUAUUACUCUUGAGGGAAAGAUUUCAUUGAAAACUUUAGUUUUGAACCAAAAGUGCUGUUCCUUCUAUUCUGGCAGCCAAAAACACAACAAGACGACAUUUUAAAGUCAAAACUUCAAACUUUUAGCACGCCUGCUAUGAGUUCUUCCUUAUGUUUUGCCUCCAGCUAGAGCGGUGACGUCACAGUGACGUAGGCGAUUAAGGGGUCUAUAGAGUGCUGCAGGUAUGACAUCACUUUGUAGGCCAAAAUGCGGAAGUGAGUUAGCAUUUUAGCACUUCCGGUUCCAUGGAAGUGCUUGGUUAAAUGACUGAAAUAAGAUCUGUGGUGAGCGCAAGCUCAAGACAGUUUCACGUUUUAUUCUACGACGUAAAAUGCAUCAGUAUUACGCCACUUGUGAUUUUUUUGAAAAAGGCGGUUGCUAGCAAGUGGCUAAAUGGGACUACAUAGGCAGUCGAGGACAUUAAACGUCAUCACUCUGAGAAGGUAAGCUCAGUCUGCUUUUAUAACCUCAUUAUGCUCAUAAUUGUACUUUUAUAAACUAUUCUAACUCAAACGUGCUGGGAAAAUGUUUUUAGAUAAAAACCGAAAGAGUUGUCAGAAGCUUAGUGAUGGUGACGUUGAAGUCGAGCGACCGUGAUGUAGUUCGUUAUAGCCUACCUUUAGCUUUUUACUUCUGGUAAUUGCAUUUAGGCUUCAGACUUCAUAAAAGUUAUGUUCAUCUGUGAAAAUUAUCUUGAUGGACAAAACGUGUAAGUAUCACAACCCUUUGUUAAACACAGAGCUUAUUUUUUGCGAUUUUCCAAAAGUCUAUAGGAAAAAUGCAUAGGCUUUUGAUCGAGGGAACCCGAUCAAAGC